UUUUUAAUUAAUUGUUUACAGGGGAAGACCCACCAUUAUCUGAUCUUGCUAUUAGAAACUGAAAAGAUGAGUCGACUGCUGAGACACCUGCUUCAUCCUGCUAAGCUAAAAACUCUUGGUUCUAGAUUGACAAACUUUCAUUUUCUGGGAUGU
rnacentral:sRNA from 1 species